rnacentral:tRNA from 3 species
GGUCCCAUCGUCUAGCGGUUAGGACGCCGGCCUCUCACGCCGGAAACCGGGGUUCAAUUCCCCGUGGGAUCACCA